rnacentral:lncRNA from 1 species
UACGGAAACACACGAACUGUACCGAGAGUGUUAAGACUACACGUCCGGUAACCGCACUAAACACCAUAUAUUCCUAUUUGAAUCCAAGUAAAAUGAGUAUAUUUUUCGAGACUCUACCUUUAAUCGGAUAUAUGAAUAGCGCGCUAUAAAUAGCCUACAGAACAGAAUUAUGUCAUCACCUGAGUACUAGUCGAAAUAAUUACACGUUCAUACAUGUAUUGUUUUAUAUUAGACGGGCAAUCUAAAUGGGGAUAUUGCCCAUAUGAAAAAAUAUCACAAUAUUUCCUAGGAUCGCGUCAAAUUAGUUGGACUACUGUUGCUUAUUCAAAGGAGACAUGAUAUUGAACAUUUUGAGAAAUAGCACUGUGGUCAGCAUUUGUCUCACGUGAACUGUGGAUACAUUUGGAUAAUGUACCUGAAAGUUCAUCACAAUUUGCUGGUGUUUUGAUAUCUACAAGAGCAGACGGCAACAGAAUUGGAGGUUACCCAAAUCUAAAGAUGUUGAGGGGUACAAGCAGCAACAUAAAAAAACUAUGAAAAACAAAUGAAAUUAAAACAACGUGAAAUCAUAUUGAAUCAUGGCACUGGCUUCCAGAUGGUUCGGCAACAAAAAAAGAUUUUUUAGCUCACCAGAGCACAAAGUGCUCAAGGUGAGCUAUUGUGAAUGACCGGCGUCCGUCGGCGUGCGUCUUGCGUCGUGCGUCAACAUUUGCCUUGUGAAC